AUUGAACGCUAGCGGGAUGCUUUACACAUGCAAGUCGAACGGCAGCGCGGACUUCGGUCUGGCGGCGAGUGGCGAACGGGUGAGUAAUGUAUCGGAACGUGCCCAGUAGCGGGGGAUAACUACGCGAAAGCGUAACUAAUACCGCAUACGCCCUACGGGGGAAAGCAGGGGAUCGUAAGACCUUGCACUAUUGGAGCGGCCGAUAUCGGAUUAGCUAGUUGGUGAGGUAACGGCUCACCAAGGCGACGAUCCGUAGCUGGUUUGAGAGGACGACCAGCCACACUGGGACUGAGACACGGCCCAGACUCCUACGGGAGGCAGCAGUGGGGAAUUUUGGACAAUGGGGGCAACCCUGAUCCAGCCAUCCCGCGUGUGCGAUGAAGGCCUUCGGGUUGUAAAGCACUUUUGGCAGGAAAGAAACGUCGCGGGCUAAUACCCCGUGGAACUGACGGUACCUGCAGAAUAAGCACCGGCUAACUACGUG
rnacentral:rRNA from 1 species